CUGGAGGGGACACAGAAGGCAAGUCAAAACCCAGAAGGUUCACACAGCAAAACUAGUCUACAAGGACUAGUUUGAACUACUCUCACCAGCUAAGACAACACUUCUUCUCUAUAAGGUUCCUGUCUUGCAGGCCACAAGACAAAAAUUUAGAACAAGGAGUGUGAAGAAAACAGCUGAGGUGGAAAAGGGAUAUUUAGAGUCCACACUGGCCAGCAGGAAAGGCAGCUCACUUGUCAACAGGUUCACUUGUGCAUGGAGGUAGCAAAUGGAUAUAAAAUGUCCCCGUGCAGCCCAAGUGGCAUCACCAGGAGCAAGUGAGAGUCCCUGAAAAAGCAGGAGAGGAUCAAGUAGCGACGAUACCUAAGGAGCUACACUUCAGGCCAACUGACAAGGACACAGCUGAGAUGAUCUUCAGGUGCCAGAGUUGUUUCCAAACCUGGAGCCAGACAGAAUUCCUCUGGACAUGUCUUGAACCUCAGGGACAGCACAGCUUGGCCACACCCUCAAAAUGAGACUCAUCCCAGUGUGGAGAUUGCCCAAAGACACUCCAAGACAUGUGAGCAUGUCAUUUACAAUGCAAUUGAAACAUUAACCCACCACACAGGCUCUCUGCACGCUUCCUCAUCUAGUUGUUUACAAUUGUUUUUAGGGUCCUUCACAUGGUGAACUUCUUCCCUGAAUAAUUCCCUGAAUUCCCUGAACUUCUUCUACCCACUAAGUGGAAGGAAGGCAGUGGGAGGGUUCUCUUGCCUUCCCUUCUUGAAUGGGUUCCCUGCACACACACACACACAC